rnacentral:rRNA from 1 species
CGGAAAAGGGAAAGGCUUAGUGGCGGACGGGUGAGUAACGCGUGGGUAACCUGGCCCAUACAGGGGGAUAACACUUAGAAAUAGGUGCUAAUACCGCAUAACAACAGAAAGCGCAUGCUUUUUGUUUUGAAAACCAAGGUGGUAUGGGAUGGACCCGCGUCUGAUUAGCUGGUUGGCGGGGUAAAGGCCCACCAAGGCGACGAUCAGUAGCCGGCCUGAGAGGGUGAACGGCCACAUUGGGACUGAGACACGGCCCAAACUCCUACGGAAGGCAGCAG